rnacentral:tRNA from 1 species
GGGAGCGUCGGUUAACGGUAAACCACCGGUCUCCAAAACCGGUACUGAAGGUUCGAUUCCUUCCGCUCCCGCCA